rnacentral:tRNA from 1 species
AGCUCAGCUGGUAGAGCAUGCGCGUACAAAGCGUAGGCGGCGUCCAUGCGUGGGUUCGAAUCCCAC